rnacentral:rRNA from 1 species
UACGAAGGGGGCUAGCGUUGCUCGGAAUCACUGGGCGUAAAGCGCACGUAGGCGGCUCGUUAAGUCAGGGGUGAAAUCCUGGAGCUCAACUCCAGAACUGCCUUUGAUACUGGCGAUCUUGAGUUCGGGAGAGGUGAGUGGAACUGCGAGUGUAGAGGUGAAAUUCGUAGAUAUUCGCAAGAACACCAGUGGCGAAGGCGGCUUACUGGUCCGGUUCUGACGCUGAGGCGCGAAAGCGUGGGGAGCAAACAGG